AUUGAACGCUGGCGGCAGGCCUAACACAUGCAAGUCGAGCGGAUGAAGGGAGCUUGCUCCUGGAUUCAGCGGCGGACGGGUGAGUAAUGCCUAGGAAUCUGCCUGGUAGUGGGGGAUAACGUCCGGAAACGGGCGCUAAUACCGCAUACGUCCUGAGGGAGAAAGUGGGGGAUCUUCGGACCUCACGCUAUCAGAUGAGCCUAGGUCGGAUUGGCUAGUUGGUGGGGUAAGGGCCUACCAAGGCGACGAUCCGUAACUGGUCUGAGAGGAUGAUCAGUCACACUGGAACUGAGACACGGUCCAGACUCCUACGGGAGGCAGCAGUGGGGAAUAUUGGGCGAUGGGCGAAAGCCUGAUCCAGCCAUGCCGCGUGUGUGAAGAAGGUCUUCGGAUUGUAAAGCACUUUAAGUUGGGAGGAAGGGCAGUAAGUUAAUACCUUGCUGUUUUGACGUUACCAACAGAAUAAGCACCGGCUAACUUCGUG
rnacentral:rRNA from 1 species